rnacentral:rRNA from 1 species
GAUGAACGCUAGCUACAGGCUUAACACAUGCAAGUCGAGGGGCAUCAGGAAGAAAGCUUGCUUUCUUUGCUGGCGACCGGCGCACGGGUGAGUAACACGUAUCCAACCUGCCCUUUACUCGGGGAUAGCCUUUCGAAAGAAAGAUUAAUACCCGAUAGCAUAAUGAUUCCGCAUGGUUUCAUUAUUAAAGGAUUCCGGUAAAGGAUGGGGAUGCGUUCCAUUAGGUUGUUGGUGAGGUAACGGCUCACCAAGCCUUCGAUGGAUAGGGGUUCUGAGAGGAAGGUCCCCCACAUUGGAACUGAGACACGGUCCAAACUCCUACGGGAGGCAGCAGUGAGGAAUAUUGGUCAAUGGGCGCUAGCCUGAACCAGCCAAGUAGCGUGAAGGAUGAAGGCUCUAUGGGUCGUAAACUUCUUUUAUAUAAGAAUAAAGUGCAGUAUGUAUACUGUUUUGUAUGUAUUAUAUGAAUAAGGAUCGGCUAACUCCGUGCCAGCAGCCGCGGUAAUACGGAGGAUCCGAGCGUUAUCCGGAUUUAUUGGGUUUAAAGGGAGCGUAGGUGGACUGGUAAGUCAGUUGUGAAAGUUUGCGGCUCAACCGUAAAAUUGCAGUUGAUACUGUCAGUCUUGAGUACAGUAGAGGUGGGCGGAAUUCGUGGUGUAGCGGUGAAAUGCUUAGAUAUCACGAAGAACUCCGAUUGCGAAGGCAGCUCACUGGACUGCAACUGACACUGAUGCUCGAAAGUGUGGGUAUCAAACAGGAUUAGAUACCCUGGUAGUCCACACAGUAAACGAUGAAUACUCGCUGUUUGCGAUAUACAGUAAGCGGCCAAGCGAAAGCAUUAAGUAUUCCACCUGGGGAGUACGCCGGCAACGGUGAAACUCAAAGGAAUUGACGGGGGCCCGCACAAGCGGAGGAACAUGUGGUUUAAUUCGAUGAUACGCGAGGAACCUUACCCGGGCUUAAAUUGCAGUGGAAUGAUGUGGAAACAUGUCAGUGAGCAAUCACCGCUGUGAAGGUGCUGCAUGGUUGUCGUCAGCUCGUGCCGUGAGGUGUCGGCUUAAGUGCCAUAACGAGCGCAACCCUUAUCUUUAGUUACUAACAGGUUAUGCUGAGGACUCUAGAGAGACUGCCGUCGUAAGAUGUGAGGAAGGUGGGGAUGACGUCAAAUCAGCACGGCCCUUACGUCCGGGGCUACACACGUGUUACAAUGGGGGGUACAGAAGGCAGCUAGCGGGUGACUGUAUGCUAAUCCCAAAAGCCUCUCUCAGUUCGGAUCGAAGUCUGCAACCCGACUUCGUGAAGCUGGAUUCGCUAGUAAUCGCGCAUCAGCCACGGCGCGGUGAAUACGUUCCCGGGCCUUGUACACACCGCCCGUCAAGCCAUGGGAGCCGGGGGUACCUGAAGUACGUAACCGCAAGGAUCGUCCUAGGGUAAAACU